rnacentral:rRNA from 1 species
CAAUAGCGUAUAUUAAAGUUGUUGCAGUUAAAAAGCUCGUAGUUGGAUUUGUGGCGUACGGUGUGUUCCGGGCACUUGUUGUCUGAGUAACCUGCUGUUGCCAUCCUUGGGUGGAACCUGUGUGGCAUUAGGUUGUCGUGCAGGGGAUGCCCAUCAUUACUGUGAAAAAAUUAGAGUGUUCAAAGCAGGCUUAUGCCGUUGAAUAUAUUAGCAUGGAAUAAUGAGAUAGGACUUUUUUGCUAUUUUGUUGGUUUGCGCAAGAAGGUAAUGAUUAAUAGGGACAGUUGGGGGUAUUCGUAUUCCAUUGUCAGAGGUGAAAUUCUUGGAUUUUUGGAAGACGAACUACUGCGAAAGCAUUUACCAAGGAUGUUUUCAUUAA